CCCUUAGAUGUUCUGGGCUGCACGCGCGCUACACUGAUGCACUCAACGAGUUUACGACCUUGCCCGAUAGGGUUGGGUAAUCUUUUUAAAAUGCAUCGUGAUGGGGAUAGAUUAUUGCAAUUAUUAAUCUUCAACGAGGAAUUCCUAGUAAGCGCGAGUCAUCAGCUCGUGCUGAUUACGUCCCUGCCCUUUGUACACACCGCCCGUCGCUCCUACCGAUUGAGUGCUCAGGUGAAUAAUUCGGACUGCAGCAAUGUUUGGAUCACGAACGUUGCAGCGGAAAGUUUAGUGAACCUUAUCACUUAGAGGAAGGAGAAGUCGUAACA
rnacentral:rRNA from 1 species